rnacentral:misc_RNA from 1 species
AACGAACACAACCGCGUUCUUGAAGUAACAGAUUUCGAUUCAAGAAUUCGACAUUGCUUGGAGUUUUCUGUUGUCUUUUUGCGCCAUCAGUCGCUCAGGCUUCGGUUCCUUUGCUUAACAAAUGCAAUAAGGCACCACUUUUGUCAUUCUUCUUCAUCUCCUGUAUCUCAUGAUUUUGUUAUUGGCGCCAUUACUAAGCGACGAUGUCAAACCUCGUCGGCUCAGACGCCUAGACAAAACCACAAAUGAUUGGUAUACGUCAUUUUUAAUUAAAACGAUGAGAUAAUACGUCGUUUUACUGCAGCGGAAGCCAAGGGCUAAUUCACGACCCACGAAGCCAUCAAAUUUUCAACUCCAA